GCUCAGGAUGAACGCUGGCGGCGUGCCUAACACAUGCAAGUCGAACGAAGCAAUUAAAAUGAAGUUUUCGGAUGGAUUUUUAAUUGACUGAGUGGCGGACGGGUGAGUAACGCGUGGAUAACCUGCCUCACACUGGGGGAUAACAGUUAGAAAUGACUGCUAAUACCGCAUAAGCGCACAGUACCGCAUGGUACGGUGUGAAAAACUCCGGUGGUGUGAGAGGGAUCCGCGUCUGAUUAGCCAGUUGGCGGGGUAACGGCCCACCAAAGCGACGAUCAGUAGCCGACCUGAGAGGGUGACCGGCCACAUUGGGACUGAGACACGGCCCAAACUCCUACGGGAGGCAGCAGUA
rnacentral:rRNA from 1 species